rnacentral:rRNA from 1 species
AUGAACGCUGGCGGCGUGCCUCAUACAUGCAAGUCGAGCGAACAGAUGAGGAGCUUGCUCCUCUGACGUUAGCGGCGGACGGGUGAGUAACACGUGGAUAACCUACCUAUAAGACUGGGAUAACUUCGGGAAACCGGAGCUAAUACCGGAUAAUAUAUUGAACCGCAUGGUUCAAUAGUGAAAGACGGUUUUGCUGUCACUUAUAGAUGGAUCCGCGCCGCAUUAGCUAGUUGGUAGGGUAACGGCUUACCAAGGCAACGAUGCGUAGCCGACCUGAGAGGGUGAUCGGCCACACUGGAACUGAGACACGGUCCAGACUCCUACGGGAGGCAGCAGUAGGGAAUCUUCCGCAAUGGGCGAAAGCCUGACGGAGCAACGCCGCGUGAGUGAUGAAGGUCUUCGGAUCGUAAAACUCUGUUAUUAGGGAAGAACAAAUGUGUAAGUAACUAUGCACGUCUUGACGGUACCUAAUCAGAAAGCCACGGCUAACUACGUG